rnacentral:lncRNA from 1 species
CACUGGGAAACCGGGACUGCGCCUGCGCGGGAAGUCGUGGCCCAGCGUGCAUGUUGGGCUCCCCUCACUGACAGGCACGGGAACAAGGUCGGAGGGCAGAGUCCGCGGGAGCGACACGGAGGCCAGGACAGCUGCUGACGCCUGGUCUGGGUCAGUGGGGAGCCCUGGUGACUCGGCCCGGUCCGGUGCUCCCAUCCUCAUCCAACGCGCUCCUCACAGGGGUGACCCCCAGCGAGGUGCCUGCGCCUACGUUCCGGGCGGACCCUGCAGGUUUCCUAUCAGAUGUUCCACCGUAAUAAUGCGGGAGUUAAGAAGUCUCCAUUUCUUUGCUCCAAACCAGAAGACUUUGUUCCCUGCAUAUAGAGUAGGAGUAAUGUUGGUUAGAAACUGGCUGGUGUUUAAAACUGAAGAUUGUCAUGACUGUUUAACCUAAACCCUAUUCUGAAGUAAAAAUAAUUGUCUUGGAAAUACUAAGUUGGACAAGGAGAUAAGACAACUACGAGCUUUGUUGUCCGCAUGUGAACUGAAUAACAGACGCACAGUGACCAAUCAAUCACCAAUGGCUUUGAAAGAAGAAAUGUGAUUAGUCACUGACCAUGAUGUUCUUCUGUUAUUUAUGUGGUGAUUCAUGGAUUGAAGAGCUGGGGGUUAAAUUUGUAUUUUGUGCAAUUACAGUUAAUAUACCAUAGUAAUUGAAAUUUGAACCCCGUUUAGGAGAUUGGUGUUAUUUGACUAAGCCACGGUAACUGAAAUUCACGCAUGUUGGAACCAUUCAAAGAAAGGAUUGUAUAUUUUUAUACUUUUAUACUUUUUGUUAAUCACCUCUUUAAACUUAUCUGCUACAAAAAUGUACAUAAAUUAAAAUUUAAACUAUUUUAUGUCCUUGAUUCUUAAGUAGUAAAAAGAAUUCUGGGCUGAUUAACAUUACAAUUAUUCUAAUUGAUCAAACAACAUAAACAUGUUUAAAUUAAAAGUAAAAAUUUCAAAAGUUAUUUCAUUCUGAUGAAUUGGGCUCUUUUCUUUUCACUUUAGCCGUAUGUCUUUGGCUAAGUAUCGCUUACUAUUGGAAUGCGACAGUUUGGAUCAAUGAUAUUCCUGUUUUUCAUUUCUGUAGAUAAAAUCCAUGAGAAAAUGUGUUCCCAUAGAUAAGGAGAUGGGAAUGAGAGGGAUUUUAUUAUAGCAGUACCACUCAGUUUGUGGAUUCUUUCCAAGUCAUUUGUCAAAAAUGCUCUUUGACUUUUUCUAAAAACAAGGAAUUUGAAAACUUUCUGACUGACAGAAUUACUACCCAGCCAUUAGGAUGUUAACUUCCCUAUUUUCCAGGAAGCAUACCAAAAAGGCUUUGGCAGAUGUUAUCAGCACCAAAGCAGCCAUGAAACACCUGCGCUGGUUGUGUACCGUACAACUAAGGACAGUGUUCACACUGCACUUUACUUGAGGGGAAUGAGCUGGAAUUGGGCAGUGCACAACUUACACAGC